UGACUUUUUUCCUAGUCAAACAUUUUUAAGUUUGACCAAAUUUAUAGAGAAAUAUAGCAACAUUUCCAACACAAAACAAACAUAUUCAAUGUUAUAUUUAAUGAAACUAAUUUAGUGUUGUAGAUGUUGCUAAUUUUUUCUAUAAAUUUACUCAAAUCUAAAGAAGUUUGAUUAGAAAAAAAAAGUC
rnacentral:pre_miRNA from 1 species